rnacentral:rRNA from 1 species
UAAUUCCAGCUCCAAUAGCGUAUAUUAAAGUUGUUGCGGUUAAAAAGCUCGUAGUUGGAGUUCUGCCAGGUGCCGUCUGUCCGCCCCAGUGGUGAGUACGUGACGCGCAUUUGGCCCUUUCAAGGGGAGCGUAUCUGCACUUUACUGUGUGGUGCGGGAUCCUUGACUUUUACUUUGAGGAAAUAGGAGUGUUCCAAGCAGGCUCUCGUCGUGCACAGCUCAGCAUGGAAUAAUAGCAUUGGACCUCGAUUCUAAGCUGUUGGUUGCCAGAAGCAAGGUAAUGAUGAAGAGGGAUAGUUGGGGGCAUUCGUAUUUAACUGUCAGAGGUGAAAUUCUUGGAUUUGUUAAAGACGGACUACUGCGAAAGCAUCUGCCAUGGAUGUUUUCAUUGAUCAAGAACGAAAGUUAGGGGAUCGAAGACGAUCAGAUACCGUCCUAGUCUUAACUAUAAACCAUGCCGGCUAGAGAUCGGAGGUUGUUCGUUUUGUGACGCCUUCAGCAUCUUGAGAGAAAUCAAAGCCUUUGGGUUCCGGGGGGAGUAUGGUCGCAAGGCUGAAACUUAAAGGAAUUGACGGAAGGGCACCACCAGGAGUGGAGCCUGCGGCUUAAUUUGACUCAACACGGGGAAACUUACCAGGUCCAGACUGGGUAAGGAUGUGCAGAUUGAUAGCUCUUUACAGAUUCUCAGGGUGGUGGUGCAUGGCCGUUCUUAGUUGGUGGAGUGAUCUGUCUGGUUAAUUCCGUUAACGAACGAGACCUUAACCUGCUAAAUAGCGCCGAGUUUCUUCUUGAAACGAAGAUGUCUUCUUAGAGGGACGUCGCGUGUCUAACGCGAGGAGGUGUGAGGCAAUAACAGGUCUGUGAUGCCCUUAGAUGUUCUGGUCCGCACGCGCGCUACACUGAUGCAUUCAACGAGUUUCUUCCUGGUCCGAGAGGAAUGGGUAACCUUUUGAAAGUGCAUCGUGAUAGGGAUAGACUAUUGCAAUUAUUGGUCUUCAACGAGGAAUUCCUAGUAGACGUAGUUCAUCAGACUGCAUCGAUUACGUCCCUGCUCCUUGUACACACCGCCC